CGAUAGGGGAGCUGACAUGGGCCGGCUGAGAGGGGACAGAUGGUCCCGACCCUUGGAACCUGAUGUGGGUAAUGCCAACGAAGGGAGCUCAA
rnacentral:ncRNA from 1 species